AACGAACGCUGGCGGCAGGCUUAACACAUGCAAGUCGAGCGCCCCGCAAGGGGAGCGGCAGACGGGUGAGUAACGCGUGGGAACGUACCCUUUGCUACGGAAUAGCCCCGGGAAACUGGAAUUAAUACCGUAUGUGCCCUACGGGGGAAAGAUUUAUCGGCAAAGGAUCGGCCCGCGUUGGAUUAGCUAGUUGGUGGGGUAAUGGCCUACCAAGGCGACGAUCCAUAGCUGGUCUGAGAGGAUGAUCAGCCACAUUGGGACUGAGACACGGCUCAAACUCCUACGGGAGGCAGCAGUGGGGAAUAUUGGACAAUGGGCGCAAGCCUGAUCCAGCCAUGCCGCGUGAGUGAUGAAGGCCUUAGGGUUGUAAAGCUCUUUCACCGGAGAAGAUAAUGACGGUAUCCGGAGAAGAAGCCCCGGCUAACUUCGUGCCAGCCGCCGCAGUAACAC
rnacentral:rRNA from 1 species